GGCGGCGUGGAUAAGACAUGCAAGUCGAACGGGAUUACUUUUGGUAGCAAUACCGAAAGUGAUUCAGUGGCGAACGGGUGCGUAACACGUGGGCAAUCUGCCGAAAAGUGGGGGAUAGCUCGCCGAAAGGCGAAUUAAUACCGCAUAUGGUCAGGGGAGACAUCUUUCCGAAUCCAAAGCCGGGGCAACCUGGCGCUUUUUGAGGAGCCCGCGGCCUAUCAGCUAGUUGGUGAGGUAACGGCUCACCAAGGCUAUGACGGGUAGCUGGUCUGAGAGGACGACCAGUCACACUGGAACUGAGACACGGUCCAGACACCUACGGGUGGCAGCAGUCGAGAAUUUUUCUCAAUGGGGGCAACCCUGAAGGAGCGACGCCGCGUGGAGGAUGAAGGCUUUCGGGUUGUAAACUCCUGUCAUUUGGGAACAAGUUGCCCACGUUAACUGCGUGGGCAUUGAUAGUACCAGAAGAGGAAGGGACGGCUAACUCUGUGCCAGCAGCCGCGGUAAUACAGANGUCCCAAGCGUUGUUCGGAUUCAUUGGGCGUAAAGGGUGCGU
rnacentral:rRNA from 1 species